rnacentral:rRNA from 1 species
AUGAUGAGACAUGGAUUCCUAAGGAUUGUUCAAGUGCAUUCAAUGUUAAGGGAUGGAACACGGAAUAGCCUUGGCCACAAUGAGCAGAAGGAGUACAAUAUGGAGUACAAUAUGGGUGACUGCAGGUACGUCCCCAGGGACACUGCUACUACCGUCACUGUUGAAGGAAUCACAGUUGUGCUGGAAGGUCUUGCCUUCCUGCUUGCGGUGUCUGCCUUCUCAUCUUAUUUAUGA